ensembl:misc_RNA
UUGACAGCCCUGAAGACCAAAGUCCUUUAUUUAUGCAUGAGCAGCAACAGUUCUGCCUUUCCCACACUGCCCUCCUGAUAUGCUUCACCCAUGACCUGAAGGAUCCCCCUUAAGGGUGACAGCUUCGUAGCCUUCAUGCCCAUUCACUCUCCAGUCCUCU